rnacentral:misc_RNA from 1 species
GAAAUGCGAUAAGUAAUGUGAAUUGCAGAAUUCAGUGAAUCAUCGAAUCUUUGAACGCACAUUGCGCCCGCCGGCACUCCGGCGGGCAUGCCUGUCCGAGCGUCAUUUCAACCCUCAGGGCCCCCUUUCGGGGGGGACCUGGUGCUGGGGAUCAGCGGCCCUCGGGCCCCUGUCCCCCAAAUACAGUGGCGGUCGCGCCGCAGCCUCCCCUGCGUAGUAGCACACCUCGCACCGGAGAGCGGUUCGACCACGCCGUAAAACCCCCAACUUUCCAAGGUUGACCUCGGAUCAGGUAGGAAUACCCGCUGAACUUAA